rnacentral:rRNA from 1 species
GACAGAGGCCCAAGCGUUAGGCGGAAUCACUGGCUUAAAGCGUGUGUAGGCGGACGCCUAAGUGUCUUGUGAAAUCCCACGGCUCACCCGUGGAACUGCUGGCAUACUGGGCGUCUUGGGCCAACUAGGGGCAGCCGGAACAAGCGGUGGAGCGGUGAAAUGCGUAGAUAUCGCUUGGAACGCCGAAGGUGAAAACAGGCUGCUGGGUGCGCCGACGCUGAGACACGAAGACCGGGGAGGCAAACGGG